UGACCUUCUGUUUGCCAGUGAAGGAAAAAAAAACCACCACUCCCCAUGAAAAUAAAUGAAAGUAACAGGAUUAGGAGUGUUAAUAGAACUUCAGAAACCAAAUAACUGCGCAUCAAUUAGGAUUUAAAGCAACACUUACGAUUUAUAUUACCGUAGACAACAAGCAGAUUGUUCAGCAGCACAAUGAAGGCUCGUCAGAUUCGUCUGUGUUAAAAUAGUCAUAAAUUUUGACAUUUUAUUGAUAAUGAAUUUCUACAACAAUUUCAAAUUUUAAGAUGAAAUACAAACGAGAAAGAAGUGCAAACUGAAAAGAUGAUAAAUUUAAAGAAUAAUAGAAAAAAAAACGUAAGAAAGGUUUGAAUAUUACCUGGGGAGAUCUGGAGAGUGAAGUGGAAUCGAGGAUUUGAGAGAGAAAGAGAGUUAAAAAAAGGAGAUGAAGAUCGAUUGAGAAGAAACACCAAGCUCAGGCCUUCAAUCGGUGAAAUAUAGAGGAAAGCAACUUAGGGUUUGAUUUGGGGAAACUGAGGGUAUAGGGAAAAAUUUGUUUUGGGAAAAAAUACUAAGUAUCGGGGCUUAAC
rnacentral:lncRNA from 1 species